rnacentral:rRNA from 1 species
GUCUACGGCCAUACCACCCUGAACGCGCCCGAUCUCGUCUGAUCUCGGAAGCUAAGCAGGGUCGAGCCUGGUUAGUACUUGGAUGGGAGAGAGAGAGAGAGAGACAGAGACA